CUUAUUGGUCCUGUGUCGGUUUUUUGAAGGAGGGGGUAUGGAGCGACACUCAACCCCUAUGCUAUUGGGCAUAUCUCUCAAGGGGUCCUGUAUGCUAGCUUUACUAGCCCCUCUGCACUGGAUUUGCACCUCUUGAACAGAUGCCUUCAC